rnacentral:lncRNA from 1 species
GCCACCACCCCAGCCCCUCUCUUUUCUUUUUCACUGUUGAUUAAAAACCCUACAUUCAUUGACAAGAUGGCUAUAAAUUUUACUGUGACAUGAAUAAGAACAAAUACAAUGCAAAUAUUCAUUAAGAAGGGGAGACUGCUGGGCGCUGUGGCCCACACCUUUAAUCUCAGAGACUCGGGAGGCUGAGACAGGAGGAUUGUGUGUUCAAAGCUAGCCUCAGCAAAAAACAAGGCGUAAACAACUCAGUAUAGACCCUGUCUCUAAAUAGAAUACAAAAAAUAGGGCUGGGGAUGUGGCUCAGUGGUCGAGUGCCCCUGAGUUUAAUCCCCUGUACCCCCCCAAAAAAGAAGAGACUAUACAAGUAUAACCUGGGAAUUGGGAACUUAAGUGUUGGUGAUAUAAAAACAGAUUCGACAUUCUGUGGUUUGCACCAUAUGAGGAAUGACAAACUGUUGAGCAACAGCAGUCCAUUUAGUGAAUUCAGAGAAUGGAUGUGUUUUCUUGAUGUAGAGGAACUAAUUACCCAAGAUAAAGCAGAGAUAUAGGACUUUACCAUAUACCCAGUUAAUGCCAUUUGGAUUUGGGUUUAGAUGAAUGAAAAAAUUACACAUUGAAAAAAUAAAAAAGGAGAGUCCAUAAAUGCAAAAAGAAGAAAUGUCAUCUUUUUAAAUAUUAGUAGAAUAAAACUUAGUAGCACAGUAGAAAUGCAAAAUAUGCAAAAUAUAGAAACAGUUCAGUUGAGAUAUUGCCAGUAAAGCAUAUUAUAUAAUGGGGAGAAAAGUAAAAGGAGGACCCCCCAAAAAUUGAGUUUAUAAAGACAUUUCCAUUUAGAAAUGAAAUAACUUUGCAUAAAGUAUGUGUUCACAAGAAGAAAUGCCUUUACAAAGUCUGUGGCUGAAAUACAAUCUUAGUGAGACAGGGUCCCACUAAGUAGUUCAGGCUGGCCUUGGAGUUUUGAUUCUCUUCCUUCACCUCUCUGAGUAGCUAUGUUGUUCAUUCUUUUUCUUUUGGGUACUGGGCAUUGAACUCA